AGGAUGAACGCUGGCGGCGUGCUUAACACAUGCAAGUCGAACGGUGAAAGAGGAGCUUGCUCCUCUGGAUCAGUGGCGAACGGGUGAGUAACACGUGGGUUACCUGCCUCGAUGACCGGGACAACCCGAGGAAACUCGGGCUAAUACCGGAUGUGCCCGCAAGGGGAAAGGAAGCUUCGGCCUCCGCAUCGAGAUGGGCCCGCGGCCCAUUAGCUUGUUGGUGAGGUAAUGGCUCACCAAGGCUUCGAUGGGUA
rnacentral:rRNA from 1 species